rnacentral:lncRNA from 1 species
AGGAAGGAAGGAAGGAAGGAAGGAAGGAAGGAAGGAAGGAAGGAAGGAAGGAAGGAAGGAAGGAAGGAAGGAAGGAAGGAAGGAAGUCAAGGUUCUAAGGUUAUUUUUCUCAGGCUUUAGAAACAUGAUUAGGAAUUAUUGUUUAAAAAUAAAUAAAUACAUGCAUGAGGAGUAGGUAUAGACUACAUUUUUGUACAGGAAAAAAGUUAUUUGAAUGUGAUCUGGCUCAGGUAUUCAGUAAGAAUGGAAAAGGAGGGCUACGCUUAAAGAAUCAUAUUACAUAGAAAAAUAUCUUUAGACAAGUGCUAGAAGGGCAAAAAAUACAAACAACCUAGAAAGAGAAAAGACUGGACUGAAUAAAAGGAGAAAAGUCUGUGCUUAGUGUCACUGAAUUCAGUAAGUGAUUACACGACACUGGGUUCAUUCAGGACCUAGCGAGUGAUCUACAGCCUGUGUUCUGCAGGAGGUCAGAAUGGAGAUUAAAGUGACCUUUUCUAGCCUCAAAUUCCAUGAAUCCAGUUCUGAACCCAGGGUCCCAAUGGAAACAAAGUGACGAUAUAGAGUCUUUGGAGUAAGCUAACCUACGCUUGAUGGAUGGUUUUACUUUUUUAUUUCCAUAGAGUCCCCCACCAUAUUACUCACACAAAACAACUUUCUCACUUGUGACAUUCAAAACUUUUAUAGAAAAAGGAGCAAUGGGCAUACAUAACUGCAAGUACCUCCAGGUAGGAAAUGAGAAAAGGUUUUAAAACUACUGGGAGAUAUAGUUUCUGGAGUAAUUUAAAAAACAAAAUACAACAACAACAACAGCAAAAAAGUGUCACAGGAAUACACUUGAAGAUGGAACUUCAUAUGUUCAUUGGCAAAACAGGUACAGAGAUUCUUCUGUUUGGACAGAAGGGGAGAAGCUGACAACAUAACUUUGCCACUGGCCUAGACUGGAUUGUGCUGCGCUUGAAGUUUUGUGUUAGAGGA